CGGGGCGUGGCGCAGCCUGGCUAGCGCGUGUGAUUUGGGAUCACAAGGUCGGAGGUUCAAAUCCUCUCGCCCCGACCA
rnacentral:tRNA from 1 species